rnacentral:snRNA from 1 species
GUGCUCGCUUCUGCAAUGCAUAUACUAAAAUCGGAAUGAUGCAGAGAAGAUUAGCAUGGCCCCUGAGCAAGGAUGACAUAGAAAUUCUUGAAGCAUUCCAUAUUUUU